rnacentral:rRNA from 1 species
CCUACGGGCGGCAGCAGUGAGGAAUAUUGGUCAAUGGACGAGAGUCUGAACCAGCCAAGUAGCGUGAAGGAUGACUGCCCUAUGGGUUGUAAACUUCUUUUAUAUGGGAAUAAAACGUUCCACGUGUGGGAUUUUGUAUGUACCAUAUGAAUAAGGAUCGGCUAACUCCGUGCCAGCAGCCGCGGUAAUACGGAGGAUCCGAGCGUUAUCCGGAUUUAUUGGGUUUAAAGGGAGCGUAGGUGGAUUGUUAAGUCAGUUGUGAAAGUUUGCGGCUCAACCGUAAAAUUGCAGUUGAAACUGGCAGUCUUGAGUACAGUAGAGGUAGGCGGAAUUCGUGGUGUAGCGGUGAAAUGCUUAGAUAUCACGAAGAACUCCGAUUGCGAAGGCAGUUCACUGGACUGCAACUGACACUGAGGCUCGAAAGUGUGGGUAUCAAACAGGAUUAGAUACCCUAGUAGUC